rnacentral:rRNA from 1 species
CGUAGGGUGCGAGCGUUGUCCGGAAUUAUUGGGCGUAAAGAGCUUGUAGGCGGUUUGUCGCGUCUGCUGUGAAAAUCCGGGGCUCAACCCCGGACUUGCAGUGGGUACGGGCAGACUAGAGUGUGGUAGGGGAGACUGGAAUUCCUGGUGUAGCGGUGAAAUGCGCAGAUAUCAGGAGGAACACCGAUGGCGAAGGCAGGUCUCUGGGCCACUACUGACGCUGAGAAGCGAAAGCGUGGGGAGCGAACAGGAUUAGAUACCCUGGUAGUCCACGCCGUAAACGUUGGGAACUAGGUGUGGGCCUCAUUCCACGAGGUCUGUGCCGCAGCUAACGCAUUAAGUUCUCCGCCUGGGGAGUACGGCCGCAAGGCUA